rnacentral:rRNA from 1 species
AGUGAACGCUGGCGGUAGGCCUAACACAUGCAAGUCGAACGGCAGCACAGGAGAGCUUGCUCUCUGGGUGGCGAGUGGCGGACGGGUGAGGAAUACAUCGGAAUCUACUCUGUCGUGGGGGAUAACGUAGGGAAACUUACGCUAAUACCGCAUACGACCUACGGGUGAAAGCAGGGGAUCUUCGGACCUUGCGCGAUUGAAUGAGCCGAUGUCGGAUUAGCUAGUUGGCGGGGUAAAGGCCCAGCAAGGCGACGAUCAGUAGCUGGUCUUAGAGGAUGACAAGCCACACUGGAACUGAGACACGGUCCAGACUCCAGCGGGAGGCAGCAGUGGGGAAUAUUGGACAAUGGGCGCAAGCCUGAUCCAGCCAUACCGCGUGGGUGAAGAAGGCCUUCGGGUUGUAAAGCCCUUUUGUUGGGAAAGAAAUCCAGCUGGCUAAUACCCGGUUGGGAUGACGGUACCCAAAGAAUAAGCACCGGCUAACUUCGUGCCAGCCGCCGCGGUAA